UUCCUCACAGAACGGCGCCCCUCUUCUCCCCAAACUCUUUAUUGCUCUCGAUUGAAACCCUCACCGCACCCCGAUGGUUGCUCCUGCUCCGACCGUCACAGGACUCGACUGCUAUGGAACCGACUCGGCCAACCUAAUGCUCCUAAGGUCCAGACGCUGAUAGCCCCCACUCUCGACGCACUGCAAGGUUGAUAAAAAUGGUUUUGACGGUGGCAUGAUUGGCGUGCGACGUUGGCUGCUGGAACUGGAACUGGAACGAGGUACAAGACGGAUGGGACGAGUUAUAUAGUAAAUAAUUUUGGGACGGGUGGGAUCGGAUUUAAGUGGAAUUCAGCUUGAUUACUUGAGUUCAUAUCAUUAAGGAACUAAGUUCAUAACUUUUGGUGCUUUCAUUGAGAGACUGAGCUAUGGUGAACGAUACGGAGGUCAUUAAAAGUCUGCAGGAAACUGUCGCUCCCUAGGAACAGCUAAUGCGCUCUCUUCAAGCUCAUGCCGAGGAACAAAAACAAGUAACGAAAAGAUCCAACGAGCUCAUAAAGAUGUGGAACGUCAAUUGGCGAUCAUAUUAUCGCAGUUGGGACUGACGUUCAAGGCACAACCUGAAAUUGAUGGAUUGGAAAAAGUUGUGUCUAAGCAAGACCACUCAAGCACAAUGAUAAUCCAUAUGUUUGAUGAAUUGCCAACACCAAAAAACUCUGAAAUUGGCGAUCAAUUGCUUCAGAGUAGUAAAGGAGCUGAUUUCCAGUGCACUAAUGGAGGCAACUCAAGCACAGUAGUUACCCAUGUGUUCGAUGAAUUGAGAUGGAGGCAUUGUAGAGGAACAAUUGGAUCAAGACACUAGGGUGUAUCAACUAUGGUUAACUACAUUGUCAAUGCUGAUCUUUGAUGGUGAUAAUUUCGAUGGUUCGUACAAACUGAAAUGUUCUCGAUUUUUGAGGAUGACAUGAACAAACUGCUCACAAAGUUAGAGUAGCGUCUUAAAGAAAAAGGGGGUUCUUAAAACUGACAAGCUAAGUUGGGUAAAUUACUUGACGAUGAUGAGGAAUCAUGUUGCUCCAAAAGAUUAUGGGACUGAAAAGGAUGUCGAAGAAAUUAUACAAAAGAUACUUGCACCAUGAAGGACCAAAAAUUUGGUGUUAUUGAACUGAUCAGUUUGUCUUGGAUGAAAAUUCUUAUGCUACUUUCAACUCGAGAUUGAAAGAUAAUUGCAGAGAAUAAUGAAAAAGAGAUUGAAACUGUGGAGUUGCCGAGACAAAAGCGGAGUUCUUGAACAAGGCAGUGAAAUCGAUUAUAGUAGGCGGAUCAAAGUGGCGUGUUGCAAAGGCAAGUUAGGUUUUUGUUGAGUUGGCCAAUGCUAGCCGGUAUGUCAGGGCGGCUAUUCCAUCUGCUAAAGGGCUUGUUCCCGAGCAACAUCCUCAUUUCAUUUGGUACAUAUUGGAGCGCUAUGAGUAUCAUCGUUUAUGGUGAGAUAGUUGAAUCUACUGAUGUUUACUUAUUCGUUGGAUCUAUUUACAACGAUUAUAGCUCUAUUAGAUACUUUCUGCUUCUGAAGAAGUAGAUGGCAAUUAUUGUGCAGCCUAAGUGGGUAGUGAUUGGUAAUGAGCCUGCAUUUGGAUGUGUUUUGAAGAAAGAUUUCCUUAGAGGCUUGCUAAGUGAUUGAGCACAUUGAUUCCGCUUAUAAGAAUUAUCAUAGGAUUUUUGUCCUAGAGGGACAUCCUCUGAAAGCAGCAGCUAAAGAGCCUCUGAGGAUCAAUGAUUUGUUUCAACAUAUAGAAAAGAUGCUUUCUAGUGAAUCUGUCGUCAUUGCUGAAACUGGGGAUUCUUGGUUAAAUUGCCAGGGGCUGAAGUUGCCUACAGGGUGUGAGUAUGAAUUCCAGAUGCACUAUGGAUCAAUUGGGUGGUCCGUCUGUACCACUCUUGUAUAUGCACGUCAUUCUAGAGAAACAUGUCAUUACUUGCUUUGGUGAUGGUAGUUUCCAGGUGAUCGGACAAGAUGUGUAAAGAGAUGGGCACAGGUCGGAUCGGGUUUUCGAUCCACCCGACCGGACUAAAAAAUUUUAAAUUCUUCACCUGACUCGAA